UUAGGAUUCUUUUAAGAAACUCAUAAGGUUCCCCCAAUGGACUUGCUCUUACACACCUGAUUUUUUUAGAUACAACUACAUUAAUGUUUGAUUAAGUUGUGUGACUCACCAUAUACUCAUCUUUUUUCUUUUUCUUUUUUUGGCUAAAACCAUAGAAAUAUAUAUGUUGGUGAAUGAUUUGUGUGACCUCUGAGUGAACCAGCUAGGGCUAGGGCUGUUUUUAUUUAGGUCUAAGAAACCGUAUAGAGGAAACCUUGUUAUUCCGUUCCUCUAGCGGAAAUACAUGGAGACGACUAAGAAUAGAGUAGGACGAUAGAAUCUUGAGACAGGAGGCAAACAGUGGAGAGCUACUUAUCUCUUAUGAUUUUGGUAUGGGAGCUAGGUU